AGCGAACGCUGGCGGCAGGCCUAACACAUGCAAGUCGAACGAACUCUUCGGAGUUAGUGGCGGACGUGUGAUUAACACGUGGGAACUUGCCUUUAGGUUCGGAAUAACUCAGGGAAACUUGUGCUAAUACCGCAUGUGCCCUUCGGGGGAAAGAUUUAUCGCCUUUAGAGCGGCCCGCGUCUGAUUAGCUAGUUGGUGAGGUAAAGGCUCACCAAGGCGACGAUCAGUAGCUGGUCUGAGAGGAUGAUCAGCCACAUUGGGACUGAGACACGGCCCAAACUCCGACGGGAGGCAGCAGUGGGGAAUCUUGCGCAAUGGGCGAAAGCCUGACGCAGCCAUGCCGGGUGAAUGAUGAAGGUCUUAGGAUUGUAAAAUUCUUUCACCGGGGACGAGAAUGACGGUACCCGGAGAAGAAGCCCCGGCUAACUUCGUG
rnacentral:rRNA from 1 species